rnacentral:rRNA from 1 species
CACGUAGUUAGCCGGUGCUUAUUCUUCAGGUACCGUCAUUAGCGGGAGAUAUUAGCUCCCACCGUUUCUUCCCUGACAAAAGAGCUUUACAACCCGAAGGCCUUCUUCACUCACGCGGCAUUGCUGGAUCAGGCUUGCGCCCAUUGUCCAAAAUUCCCCACUGCUGCCUCCCGUAGGAGUCUGGACCGUGUCUCAGUUCCAGUGUGGCUGGUCGUCCUCUCAGACCAGCUACUGAUCGUAGCCUUGGUAGGCCUUUACCCUACCAACUAGCUAAUCAGAUAUCGGCCGCUCCAGGAGCAUGAGGUCUUGCGAUCCCCCACUUUCAUCCAUAGAUCGUAUGCGGUAUUAGCGUAACUUUCGCUACGUUAUCCCCCACUCUUGGGUACGUUCCGAUAUAUUACUCACCCGUUCGCCACUCGCCGCCAGGUUGCCCCGCGCUGCCGUUCGACUUGCAUGUGUAAAGCAUGCCGCCAGCGUUCAAUCUGAGCCAGGAUA